UUAAGCGACUAAGCGUACACGGUGGAUGCCCUGGCAGUCAGAGGCGAUGAAGGACGUGCUAAUCUGCGAUAAGCGUCGGUGAGGUGAUAUGAACCGUUAUAACCGGCGAUUUCCGAAUGGGGAAACCCAGUGUGUUUCGACACACUAUCAUUAACUGAAUCCAUAGGUUAAUGAGGCGAACCGGGGGAACUGAAACAUCUAAGUACCCCGAGGAAAAGAAAUCAACCGAGAUUCCCCCAGUAGCGGCGAGCGAACGGGGAGGAGCCCAGAGCCUGAAUCAGUGUGUGUGUUAGUGGAAGCGUCUGGAAAGGCGCGCGAUACAGGGUGACAGCCCCGUACACAAAAAUGCACAUACUGUGAGCUCGAUGAGUAGGGCGGGACACGUGGUAUCCUGUCUGAAUAUGGGGGGACCAUCCUCCAAGGCUAAAUACUCCUGACUGACCGAUAGUGAACCAGUACCGUGAGGGAAAGGCGAAAAGAACCCCGGCGAGGGGAGUGAAAAAGAACCUGAAACCGUGUACGUACAAGCAGUGGGAGCCUCUUAAUGGGGUGACUGCGUACCUUUUGUAUAAUGGGUCAGCGACUUAUAUUCUGUAGCAAGGUUAACCGAAUAGGGGAGCCGAAGGGAAACCGAGUCUUAACUGGGCGUUAAGUUGCAGGGUAUAGACCCGAAACCCGGUGAUCUAGCCAUGGGCAGGUUGAAGGUUGGGUAACACUAACUGGAGGACCGAACCGACUAAUGUUGAAAAAUUAGCGGAUGACUUGUGGCUGGGGGUGAAAGGCCAAUCAAACCGGGAGAUAGCUGGUUCUCCCCGAAAGCUAUUUAGGUAGCGCCUCGUGAAUUCAUCUCCGGGGGUAGAGCACUGUUUCGGCAAGGGGGUCAUCCCGACUUACCAACCCGAUGCAAACUGCGAAUACCGGAGAAUGUUAUCACGGGAGACACACGGCGGGUGCUAACGUCCGUCGUGAAGAGGGAAACAACCCAGACCGCCAGCUAAGGUCCCAAAGUCAUGGUUAAGUGGGAAACGAUGUGGGAAGGCCCAGACAGCCAGGAUGUUGGCUUAGAAGCAGCCAUCAUUUAAAGAAAGCGUAAUAGCUCACUGGUCGAGUCGGCCUGCGCGGAAGAUGUAACGGGGCUAAACCAUGCACCGAAGCUGCGGCAGCGACACUAUGUGUUGUUGGGUAGGGGAGCGUUCUGUAAGCCUGUGAAGGUGGCCUGUGAGGGUUGCUGGAGGUAUCAGAAGUGCGAAUGCUGACAUAAGUAACGAUAAAGCGGGUGAAAAGCCCGCUCGCCGGAAGACCAAGGGUUCCUGUCCAACGUUAAUCGGGGCAGGGUGAGUCGACCCCUAAGGCGAGGCCGAAAGGCGUAGUCGAUGGGAAACAGGUUAAUAUUCCUGUACUUGGUGUUACUGCGAAGGGGGGACGGAGAAGGCUAUGUUGGCCGGGCGACGGUUGUCCCGGUUUAAGCGUGUAGGCUGGUUUUCCAGGCAAAUCCGGAAAAUCAAGGCUGAGGCGUGAUGACGAGGCACUACGGUGCUGAAGCGACAAAUGCCCUGCUUCCAGGAAAAGCCUCUAAGCAUCAGGUAACAUUAAAUCGUACCCCAAACCGACACAGGUGGUCAGGUAGAGAAUACCAAGGCGCUUGAGAGAACUCGGGUGAAGGAACUAGGCAAAAUGGUGCCGUAACUUCGGGAGAAGGCACGCUGAUAUGUAGGUGAAGCGACUUGCUCGUGGAGCUGAAAUCAGUCGAAGAUACCAGCUGGCUGCAACUGUUUAUUAAAAACACAGCACUGUGCAAACACGAAAGUGGACGUAUACGGUGUGACGCCUGCCCGGUGCCGGAAGGUUAAUUGAUGGGGUUAGCGGCAACGCGAAGCUCUUGAUCGAAGCCCCGGUAAACGGCGGCCGUAACUAUAACGGUCCUAAGGUAGCGAAAUUCCUUGUCGGGUAAGUUCCGACCUGCACGAAUGGCGUAAUGAUGGCCAGGCUGUCUCCACCCGAGACUCAGUGAAAUUGAACUCGCUGUGAAGAUGCAGUGUACCCGCGGCAAGACGGAAAGACCCCGUGAACCUUUACUAUAGCUUGACACUGAACAUUGAGCCUUGAUGUGUAGGAUAGGUGGGAGGCUUUGAAGUGUGGACGCCAGUCUGCAUGGAGCCGACCUUGAAAUACCACCCUUUAAUGUUUGAUGUUCUAACGUGGGCCCCUAAUCCGGGUUGCGGACAGUGUCUGGUGGGUAGUUUGACUGGGGCGGUCUCCUCCUAAAGAGUAACGGAGGAGCACGAAGGUUGGCUAAUCCUGGUCGGACAUCAGGAGGUUAGUGCAAUGGCAUAAGCCAGCUUGACUGCGAGCGUGACGGCGCGAGCAGGUGCGAAAGCAGGUCAUAGUGAUCCGGUGGUUCUGAAUGGAAGGGCCAUCGCUCAACGGAUAAAAGGUACUCCGGGGAUAACAGGCUGAUACCGCCCAAGAGUUCAUAUCGACGGCGGUGUUUGGCACCUCGAUGUCGGCUCAUCACAUCCUGGGGCUGAAGUAGGUCCCAAGGGUAUGGCUGUUCGCCAUUUAAAGUGGUACGCGAGCUGGGUUUAGAACGUCGUGAGACAGUUCGGUCCCUAUCUGCCGUGGGCGCUGGAGAACUGAGGGGGGCUGCUCCUAGUACGAGAGGACCGGAGUGGACGCAUCACUGGUGUUCGGGUUGUCAUGCCAAUGGCACUGCCCGGUAGCUAAAUGCGGAAGAGAUAAGUGCUGAAAGCAUCUAAGCACGAAACUUGCCCCGAGAUGAGUUCUCCCUGACCCUUUAAGGGUCCUGAAGGAACGUUGAAGACGACGACGUUGAUAGGCCGGGUGUGUAAGCGCAGCGAUGCGUUGAGCUAACCGGUACUAAUGAACCGUGAGGCUUAACCUU
rnacentral:rRNA from 1 species